rnacentral:rRNA from 1 species
GAUGAACGCUGGCGGCGUGCCUAAUACAUGCAAGUCGAGCGCACGGACGAGAAGCUUGCUUCUCUGAUGUUAGCGGCGGACGGGUGAGUAACACGUGGAUAACCUACCUAUAAGACUGGGAUAACUUCGGGAAACCGGAGCUAAUACCGGAUAAUAUUUUGAACCGCAUGGUUCAAAAGUGAAAGACGGUCUUGCUGUCACUUAUAGAUGGAUCCGCGCUGCAUUAGCUAGUUGGUAAGGUAACGGCUUACCAAGGCAACGAUGCAUAGCCGACCUGAGAGGGUGAUCGGCCACACUGGUACUGAGACACGGUCCAGACUCCUACGGGAGGCAGCAGUAGGGAAUCUUCCGCAAUGGGCGAAAGCCUGACGGAGCAACGCCGCGUGAGUGAUGAAGGUCUUCGGAUCGUAAAACUCUUUUAUUAGGGAAGAACAUAUGUGUAAGUAACUGUGCACAUCUUGACGGUACCUAAUCAGAAAGCCACGGCUAACUACGUG